rnacentral:rRNA from 1 species
AACCUUACCUACUCUUGACAUCCAGAGAACUUUCCAGAGAUGGAUUGGUGCCUUCGGGAACUCUGAGACAGGUGCUGCAUGGCUGUCGUCAGCUCGUGUUGUGAAAUGUUGGGUUAAGUCCCGCAACGAGCGCAACCCUUAUCCUUUGUUGCCAGCGGUUCGGCCGGGAACUCAAAGGAGACUGCCAGUGAUAAACUGGAGGAAGGUGGGGAUGACGUCAAGUCAUCAUGGCCCUUACGAGUAGGGCUACACACGUGCUACAAUGGCGUAUACAAAGAGAAGCGACCUCGCGAGAGCAAGCGGACCUCAUAAAGUACGUCGUAGUCCGGAUUGGAGUCUGCAACUCGACUCCAUGAAGUCGGAAUCGCUAGUAAUCGUAGAUCAGAAUGCUACGGUGAAUACGUUCCCGGGCCUUGUACACACCGCCC